rnacentral:lncRNA from 1 species
CCGGCGCAGCCCGGAGGAGCGGAGGGAGAGGGCCGCGCCCCCGUACGCGGUGGGCACGUGGGGAGCCCCGGCGUCCUGCCUCGGGGCACGGCGGGGGCUCCCCGAAGCUGGGGGCCGCUGCCCCGCGCCACCCGCACGACGCUCGGGGACCCCUCCGCGCCUCCCCGAGCCACUUUCCGAGAAGGUCGGCUCUCCGGCGGCCUGUCGGGCGAAGUAGGUUGUGCUGGCGCUUCCGCUGCUUCAGUGUGUCCUCUCCAGGUGUUUGGAGCAAAGAGGGAGCGUCGGGUCGGGCAGCGGCUUUCGGAACCAGAGACCCAGGGGAAGCCCGAGGCUCUAUUCUCAUGCGCAGUAGCUUGACAAUUAGAGGCCACUGGUGAAAAAGAAAAAAAUUAAAAACCAGCUCAAGUGGGACCUGCCAGAUUGCUACGCAGAGUUGUGUGCAUACGCUAUGCUAGAUGUAGAUGUGGAAGGACAGGCGCCCGGGUCGAGGAUUAGACAGUCACUAUCUUACAGCUGGGUUUCCUUGGCAGGUUGCACAUAAAGUUUCUAAAGCGACAGAAAUUUCCUGGGAGAAUUACAGGGUGGAGGAAGCCGACGUUUGUUACACCGAGAAUGAACUAUGUCUUUAUUGAAAUUAAAAAAAAAAAAAAAGAGGUUAUUUAUUUAUUUGUGAGAGACGCAGAGACACAGGCAGAGGGAGAAGCAGGCUUCCUGCAGGGAGACCCGACGUGGGACCCGAUCCGAUCCCGGGUCUCCAGGAUCAGGCCCUGAGCUGAAGGCAGGCGCUAAACUGCUGGGCCACCCGGGGUGCCUCCCGCUUUUUAAGAUUUUAUAUAUUUAUUCAUGAGAAAGACAGAGAGAGAGAGAGAGGCAGAGGGAGAAGCAGGCUCCAUGCAGGGAGCCCAAUGUGGGACUCGAUCCCGGUACUCCAGGACCACACCCUGGACUGAAGGCAGGUGCUAAACCACUGAGCCACCCGCCUGCCCUGAACUAUUUCUUUAAAUUCAAAUCAUAGCUGGAGGGUCGCAAAAUUAGUAGAUGGAGGUAGAGGAGCCUGAAUCACAAACAUCUUAUGUAUUACAAGGCAAGUAGGUACUGCCAAUGAUGUAACAAUGCCUUUGACACCAACAUCCUGUAUCCGUUGUUCGUGUUGGCAAAAAAAAACACUAGAGCAAAGUCCUAUUUAAUUAAUAGACCCCUAAAAUAGCUACAGUUUUUGGUUGUAAUUGUUUUUAUGUUCUCUGCCUUUCUCUAAAAGUCAAAUAGAUAUCAAAAGUCUUAAAAUUGCCAGGAUGUGUGCUGCAGUCACCACAGAUUUAUUCCAAUUUCCUAAGUUAUUUUACAUUGAAAAUACAUAUUUAUAAUGAGACCCUUGAGGGAUAGUGACGUCUGGAAUCCUCUAAAAAUAAUUCAGGUGUGGGCACCUGAGUGGCUCAGUUGGUUAAGUGUCUGCCUUCCGCUCAGGUCAUGAUUUCAGGGAUCCUGGGAUGGAGCCCUUUCUUGGGUUCCUUGCUGAGCUGGGAGUCAGCUUCUCCCUCUCCCACCCUUAUCCCCACUCUUGCUCUCGCUCAUGUCUUUCUCUCAAAUAAAUAAAAUCGAAAAAAUAAUAAUUCA